UACGGGGGGCAAGCGUUGUUCGGAAUUACUGGGCGUAAAGGGCGCGUAGGCGGUUGGAUAAGUCAGCUGUGAAAACCACGGGCUUAACUCGUGGCCUGCAGUUGAGACUGUCUGGCUUGAGUGUGGGAGAGGAGAGUGGAAUUCCUGGUGUAGCGGUGAAAUGCGUAGAUAUCAGGAGGAACACCAGCGGCGAAGGCGGGUAGCUGGGCCAACACUGACGCUGAUGCGCGAAAGCUAGGGGAGCAAACGGG
rnacentral:rRNA from 1 species